ensembl:lncRNA
ACAGGGUAGCAUCCAUUCUUUUAACCACCAAAUGUUUUUUGUUUUUUUUGUUUGGUUUUUUGUUUGUUUUAACUACUACUACUUUAUAUAUCUUCCAGAGAAAAAUGCUGCUCAAUCCCACAAUUCCCGAAGAGCUCCCAAAAACAUGUGGUCCAAGGCUGAGGUUGCUGCAGUGAUGAGGCAUUUUAAAGACCACAUAAACGAAGGGAAACUAGCCACCAAAAAUGAAUGCAGUCAUUGCAAAUUGGUAGAAGAUCCGGUGUUGGCAGAAAAAAAUGAACUAAAAUAACUGUUUAGAGAGCUGUGGUUUUACAUCUUGGUCAGAUUGCCAAUUGUUGUUAACACUGAUGUUCUGUUUAAAGAAAAAAAAGUUCUUGUUAAAUACAGAAGUAGUUUGUAUUUCAUAAUUUUUACAUUUAAUUUAUUUAGGGUUUUUUUUGACGGGUUAUAUUUAAAAUAAAAAAUUAUAAAUGCAUAUUUUCUCCCCUUAAUAUUUACCUUUAAACUAUUAAAAUUC